AUUGAACGCUGGCGGCAGGCCUAACACAUGCAAGUCGAGCGGAUGAAGGGAGCUUGCUCCUGGAUUCAGCGGCGGACGGGUGAGUAAUGCCUAGGAAUCUGCCUGGUAGUGGGGGAUAACGUCCGGAAACUGGCGCUAAUACCGCAUACGUCCUGAGGGAGAAAGUGGGGGAUCUUCGGACCUCACGCUAUCAUAUGAGCCUAGGUCGGAUUAGCUAGUUGGUGGGGUAAAGGCCUACCAAGGCGACGAUCCGUAACUGGUCUGAGAGGAUGAUCAGUCACACUGGAACUGAGACACGGUCCAGACUCCUACGGGAGGCAGCAGUGGGGAAUAUUGGACAAUGGGCGAAAGCCUGAUCCAGCCAUGCCGCGUGUGUGAAGAAGGUCUUCGGAUUGUAAAGCACUUUAAGUUGGGAGGAAGGGCAGUAAGUUAAUACCUUGCUGUUUUGACGUUACCAAAAGAAUAAGCACCGGCUAACUUCGUG
rnacentral:rRNA from 1 species